rnacentral:RNase_P_RNA from 1 species
GGAGUCGGCCAGGCAGUCGCGUCAUCACGUCGCAAGGCGGGGUGCCGAGGAAAGUCCGGGCUCCACAGGGCACGGUGCCAGGUAACGCCUGGGCGGCGCGAGUCGACGGAAAGUGCAACAGAAAGAUACCGCCUAUGUCGGAGCAAUCUGGCAGGCAAGGGUGAAAUGGUGCGGUAAGAGCGCACCGCGAGCCUGGCAACAGGCCGGCACGGCAAACCCCACCGGGAGCAAGGCCAAAUAGGGACCUCAUGACGCUGCCCGCGUCGGGUCCGGGUAGGCUGCUUGAGCGUACGGGUGACCGUGCGCCUAGAGGAAUGACUGUCGCGGCGCGCGAGCGUCGAACAGGACCCGGCUUAUCGGCCGACUCCGCCA